AAAAUUGUUGUUAAGGAACUCGGCAAAUUAACCCCGUAAGUUCGCGAGAAGGGGUGCCAUGGCAACAUGGCCGCAGUGAAAUGGCCCAAGCAACUGUUUAACAAAAACACAGGUCUCUGCAAAAGCGCAAGCUGAAGUAUAGGGGCUGACGCCUGCCCGGUGCUGGAAGGUUAAGGGGAAUGCUUAGGAGCAAUCCGAAGGUGUGAACUUAAGCCCCAGUAAACGGCGGCCGUAACAAUAACGGUCCUAAGGUAGCGAAAUUCCUUGUCAGGUAAGUUCUGACCCGCACGAAUGGCGUAAUGACUUGGGCACUGUCUCAACAACAAAUCCGGCGAAAUUGUAGUGCCAGUGAAGAUGCUGGCUACCCGCGAUUGGACGGAAAGACACCGUAGAGCCUUACUGUAGCUUAUCAUUGAGUUUCGAUAUUGUCUGUACAGGAUAGGUGGGAGACUGGGAAAUCAUAUCGUCAGGUAUGAGGGAGUCGACGUUGGGAUACCACCCUGAUAGUAUUGGAAUUCUAACCGGCGGCCGGGAAACAGGUCACGGGACAUUGUUAGGUGGGCAGUUUGACUGGGGCGGUCGCCUCCAAAAGAGUAACGGAGGCGCCCAAAGGUUCCCUCAGAACGGUCGGAAAUCGUUCGAAGAGUGUAAAGGCAGAAGGGAGCCUGACUGCGACACAGACAAGUGGAGCAGGGACGAAAGUCGGGCUUAGUGAUCCGGUGGUACCUCGUGGGAGGGCCAUCGCUCAACGGAUAAAAGCUACCUCGGGGAUAACAGGCUGAUCUCCCCCAAGAGUUCACAUCGACGGGGAGGUUUGGCACCUCGAUGUCGGCUCGUCACAUCCUGGGGCUGAAGUAGGUCCCAAGGGUUGGGCUGUUCGCCCAUUAAAGUGGCACGCGAGCUGGGUUCAGAACGUCGUGAGACAGUUCGGUCCCUAUCCGUCGCGGGCGUAGGAAAUUUGAGAGGAGCUGACCCUAGUACGAGAGGACCGGGUUGGACCAAUCACUGGUGCACCAGUUGUCACGCCAGUGGCAUAGCUGGGUAGCUAAAUUGGGACGGGAUAAACGCUGAAUGCAUCUAAGCGUGAAGCCCACCUCAAGAAGAGAUUUCCCAUGGAGAAAAUCCAGUAAGAUCCCUUGAAGACGACAAGGUAGAUAGGUGAGGGGUGUAAGUGCAGCAACGUAUUAAGCUGACUCAUACUAAUAGAUCGAGGGCUUGAUCU
rnacentral:rRNA from 1 species